rnacentral:rRNA from 1 species
UACAGAGGUCCCGAGCGUUGUUCGGAUUCACUGGGCGUAAAGGGUGCGUAGGUGGUGAGGUAAGUCGGAUGUGAAAUCUCCGGGCUCAACCCGGAAAUGGCAUUGGAAACUACCUUGCUAGAGGAUUUGAGGGGGGAUUGGAAUACUUGGUGUAGCAGUGAAAUGCGUAGAUAUCAAGUGGAACACCAGUGGCGAAGGCAGCCUCCUGGGAUGACACUGACGCUCAUACACGAAAGCGUGGGGAGCAAACAGG